rnacentral:siRNA from 1 species
GGUGGGAUGACAAACUCGGUUGU